GAUGAACGCUGGCGGCGUGCCUAACACAUGCAAGUCGAACGAACAGACGAGGAGCUGGUUCCUCUGACGUUAGCGGCGCACGGGAGAGUAACACGUGGAUAAUCCACCUAUAAGACUGGGAUAACUUCGAGAAGCCGGAUCUAAUACCAGAUAAUAUAUUCAACCGCAUGGUUCAAUAGAGAAUGAAGGUUUUGCUGUCACUUAUAGACGGAUCCGCGUCGCAUGAGCUAGUUGGUAAGGUACCGGCUUACCAAGGCGACGAGGCGUAGCCGCCCUGAGAGGGUGAUCGGCCACACUGGAACUGAGACACGGUCCAGACUCCUACGGGAGGCAGCAGUAGGGAAUCUUCCGCGAUGGGGGAAAGCCUGACGGAGCAACGCCGCGUGAGUGAUGAAGGUCUUCGGAUGGGAAAACGCUGUUAGUAGGGAAGAACAAAAGUGUAAUUAACUAGGAAGGUAAUGACGGUACCUAAUGAGGAAGCCACGGCUAACUACGUG
rnacentral:rRNA from 1 species